AGCAGGAUAGAAUGAGACAGGGGGUCAUGCCCCAGGCCUUCCUUCCCAGCUGACCAGCUCAGACCUUUACUAGUUCUGAGCCCAAAUCUGUGGAUCUCAUCCCGAUCUCGAUUCUGGGCCCAAUAAGAGCAGAGUGAACUUCUCUCUAAUUCCAGUUGUUUGACAAGGCCUGACUCCAGAGCUCAGAGGAGCUGAACUUUGUGUUGGGGUCAGACAGUGACAGCACAGCCACUGAAGGCAUGGAGUCCGAAGGUGGCCCGAGCCAUAACACCAGUGUUUGAGACAUGUUCAUGUCAGUGAGUCAUUCUCAUUUCAGAGCCUCCAAAAAGAAGUCCACACUGGAAAAGCAGGUCUGAUCUAGGUGCUGCCCUGAAUGCCCUGUCUGGCUGUGCCUGAGGAUCUCCUUCCCCUGCCCUGCUGCACAAGCUUGGGAUGGAUGUUAUAGGUAAACGAAGUGACAGUGGCCACUUUCCAAGCCAAGCAGCCAGGAGACAGAGCGCAGGCCAGAAAGUCUCAGCUGCUGCUGUGGGAGAGCCCUGCUCAGCUUGUAACUACAACAAGGCUGAUGAGAGAGGGUUAGCAGAGCCAGCAGGGCUGUCCUCACCCGCGCUGGGGCUGUACUGGUGGCCCGACUCCGGGAAGGAUGAGUGAUCCUAUGGCCAGACCGGUCCCUUCAGGCACCGGGUCUAAGUACUGAUUCAUACAUAGGACCUCUUCAGAAGAAUUGCUUCCAUUUUUGCAAGUCUCCUUUCAGUAAAAGAAGUCCGCAA